rnacentral:lncRNA from 1 species
CGCUGCUCAGCCAUGGCCUGCUGCAGGGCCUGCAUCCACUCCUUCCGCUCCACAUCACUCUCUGCCCGGAAGGCAAAGGUUCGGUUGUUUGUGAUCACUUCAAACUUCUGGUCCCCGAUGGCAGCCACGUGGGAGAUGCAGGCCACAGAGAUAAAGCGCUUAGAGUAAGCGUCCUUGUUACUGUCAAAGUAUCGCAGGUGAUCAGUAUCCAGUCUCACCCAUCGUUUCUGAUAGAUGUAAGAUCCCUGCGGUGGGUUCUUGUCCAGCCAGCCAGCCUUGAUGACUGGUGUGACGGGGGUGGAGCCCCCAGGCGGCCCGUCCAUGGGGUGUGGCGCAGCUAUUGUGCUGGGCAAGGACAAGCUCAGGCUGCUGGUAUGCCAUCCGCCAUUGGGGACGCCCUCAUAGGCGUGGUCAUCCUCUUCCUCAUCCCCUUGGUCGUCCCCAGACAGUUCCUCUCCCUCGCUCAGCAGACUGGCCACGCGCACGGCCCGUGGGACUCGGCUCGGUGGGGGCUCCUCCUUCUUGGUCAUCACUCUGGCUGGGGCCCCCGGCCCCUCCUCUGGGACCUCAUCGUAGUCAGAGUCAUCGAACUCUGGGAACAGGCGUACCGGCUUUGGAGGUAUCUCCGGGGGGCAGGGAGGUGGAGAGGGAGGCUGGGGAGGCCCCUGGGGGAGGGUGGACAGGGGCUCCUCAGACUGUGGCUGGGGAGGGGAUGAUAAUGAUGGCAGCAAUGACUCCUCCUCCUUAGUGGGCAGGCUCACCAGCAGGCGGGGGGGUCCGGUGCGGGGCGGCACGGGUGGAACGCUCAGCUCUGCCAAAUGCCGCUUAGCAGGCAGCGGGGGCAGCACAGGGUCUGGGGCAGCUGUGGAUGGGGUGGUGAAGCAGGUGGGCGGAAGGCAGCUCCUCCGGGGCGGGAUGGGUGGGGCAGCGGGGAGCCCCUCAUCCUCUGUAGUGGUGGGCAGCGGCUCGGGUGGAGUGGCAGGCACAGGUGGUGAGCGGAAGAUGUGGCGCUUCAUGGGCACAGGCCGUGGGGUGGGGCGGGGUGCAGGGGCCGGUGAG